rnacentral:lncRNA from 1 species
CAAUGUGUCUGUUGGAUCUCUGUUUGUACCUCUUUUCUCACGAGUCGAUCGUUUAGAUCGUCUCGAUGUAGUGCUAUCUUUGAACGAAUGUUUUGCACUUCCGUUGCCAUCCUCAGACAGAUAUAUUACACGAUGAGGCAGUGAACUGCCGCGAAGUGGUCCUUCUCUUUGCACGAACAAGUGUUUGGUUCUGGCAUUUGUCUGUUCCCCUCGUAUCAAUGUUUCGCCAAACGAAACGAAGAGAAAUAACGCAACAAACAAUGUCUGCAUGGCGAGCUAUACUCAAUGCAGGCAAAAACAACAGCAGCAACAAAACUUCAAUGACACAAUGUUCUACACUGAACUCAAUAUAUCACUAGAGUAAUAAAGUUCGGAAAUUCUGAUGUCAUAACGAAUCAUUCUAACGAAUAGGUACG